CUUAAUAAAGAUUAUCCGUGAUAGACCUAAACAUAACAGAACUAAAGUCAUAUCUUCCUUUGGGUCUGGACAUCUGUGAUGCAUGGUUUGGUGAUUCAAUUAUUGAUUUUCUAYUUUUAAUGGGUGGUGUAGCAGUGAGAGUGCUUGCCUCUCAUCAAGCAAUGCAACCCUGGUUCGAUUCUUGGACUCGUCGUAUCGGUUUUUAAAACAACGAAGGUAUAUACGCCAUGAGUUGUAAAAUAUGAGAGGCUAUUUAUAUGGAGCUGCUAUCUGGGAGCUACAUGAAGUACCCCUCUCCGAAGGUCAGCAAAGCCAAUAUGGCGGUCGUUAUGCUGUGAAUUCUGUUCAACAAAGAACAAGAUCAAGGUUUUACUCCCAGAGAAAUUGCAUUAUGGAGAUAGUAUGAGGAGCAGUAUAUUCUAAGUUCCUUUGGGAAAUAACCGGAGACCUUGAAUGCUGUAGCGUCGUAUGGUAGCACGAAGCAUUUACGGCUAUGCCAGAGAUUUUGACCCUGACACUGCUAUCCACGGGAGGAAUUACAGCCUGAUCAGGAAGGUCGGCUGAAGCCUAAGGGAGAGGCACAGGUCUUGGCGGUACUGCUGGAACAAUGCUCUUGGUCGUUAGUAUUCCGGAAGUAAUCAUAUCGUCGGGCUUAGAUACCGUGCUCCUAAAAGAGAAGGUGGAAAUCGAGUUAGGAGUGUGGAAAUAUAAAUACAAUGUCCUCCUGCAAUAACACGAAAGCACUUCCGUAAACCGAGCCUGUCUUAUGCAAGAAUACUUGAAAUCACAUUAAAAAUGAUAAACGAUUAAA